GACCGACCUCCCCUGAAAAACAAAGGAAUUCUGCCAACAUACUCCCUCUGGACUUGAACUGCAACUCUUCCCUGGGCCUCCAGCCUGCCCGCUCACCUGCAAAUAUUGGACUUGCCAGCCUCCACAAUCACAUGAGUCAAUUCCUUAAAGAAACAUGAAGGGAUUUUUCUCCUGUCUUCACUGUGAGAACCUGGUAGAGCUCCAGGAGAUGAAAAUGUGGUGUCCCGGAGUUUUUAACUCUCAGACUUAUCUGCACUGAGCCUCCAGCAAUUCAUCAAUUACAGUUGAGAUUUUCCUACCCCUGAACUGCUUCUUGCAGAGGUUUCUGCUCCGCAGGACCUGGACAUCUUUCAACUUGGCGGUUGAACUCCAAGAGGGAAAAUGUGGAUGCUGCCAGCCUCCUUAAGGCUUGAGCUCAGAAGACCCAGGAAGCUACAUCCCCCACAUUCUGUUGGCCAACAUGCGCAUCUCAAGUCCAACUCAAGUUCAAGGGGUGGGGAAGUAGAUUCCCACCUUUUAUGGGAAGAGCUUCAAAGUCGAGAUGGGCAUGGGCACAGGGAGACAUGAUUCAUUGGGACCAUUUUUCAUAUUUUGCCACAUCACCCCUGAACAUCCACACACAGCAUGUUCUCUCUGUCCCCCGGACAGGUAGAUGCAGAUGCUCAGGGAGCCUUUAUGAGCCAGUAAUGAAGACAGAGGGGCCUCUGUUAGAGAGCUCCUUACCUCCAGCUCCCAUUCUCUGGCAACUACAUAAGCAAGAAAUAAACAUGGGUUGCAUUAAGCCACUGAUAUUACAGGGUUUAUUUAUUAAAGCAGCU